rnacentral:lncRNA from 1 species
GUGCAGCGUCCCUGCAGUCUCAGUGAGAACCUCUGACCUAGGCGUGGCUGUGUGCUGGCUCCUGGGCCCCAGGCACGCCAGCUGCACGAGGGUAGGCAUUCCAGGGGACACCUCCGUCAAAGGACUGGGGAAUAACUGUCUACUGCACACGGAAAUUUGUGCAGAUGGAGACCGUGUGGCGCGUAAGCACAAAGCUGUUUUAAACUGUAACUGGAAGAUCAAAAAGAGUUUAGGGGAAAAUCCACGGCACCUGGACCAGCCCUCCUGGCACUGCCCUCGCAGUGCGGUUUCACAGGGGCUACUGGGAGGUGCGUCUCCCUGCCUGGACCGAGACCGGGACCAAACAGAGAAGCCUGCAGGGCCAGGAGUUCUAUGGAGAUGGCUCCUCCCAGACGGCAGUGGGGACCCUCAGGGUUGGCCACAGGCUUUGGUGAUGUCUGCAGAUAAGAUGAGAUUCUCCAUGUGGUGUUCAGGCCGUUUUCGUGAGGAAUAAGUGAAAAGCGCCUCACACAUGCUGGGGAAAGGCAAUGUCCUAUCCUAAGGCCAUGCUGAUGAUGGGGUGAGGCUGCCUUCCUGAGCCCCACCCUCCACAUCUGACCACACCUAACUCCAAACCUCUACCCACACUGCUGCCUGGCUCUGCGGGGCCGUCACCGGGCGUCGGACGGACAAUCCCAGCCUCACCCCUGCACAACCUGCUCUCCCCACUGCCUGGCUCUGUGGGGACACUGUGAACGCCAUCAACACACAGCCCGGGGUCGCUGUCUGGGACGUGCCCAUUAAGUCACGAUAAACGGUUUUUACUAAAAGCUUAGGCACCAAUAGAGGCCUGCUGAGGGCGGUGGAGAGGACACCAGAGUGGUUUUUCUAUAAUCACAAAAUACUAACUGCGAGAAGGAAUAGAGAAAGCAUUUCUUUUCUCUGUGACCUGCGAACACAGGGCAGUGAUGGAUUGUGCACUGCCACGUUCCGAGGUGGAGACCAGCAGCCCUGCAUUGACAGUAGUGACUUUCCUCAUGCAACGAAGCCAUGCAGAGACAGCUACAAUGUGCUUAUCAUUUGGGGUGGCAGCUGGCUUCCGACUCUCACAGGUCUCCUCACCUGCAGCCGUGCGCACACCCCACAAAGAGCUGGCAUCACAAAGUUAACUCAGAGCCCAGAGACGGGAGAUGUCCAGGCCCAGUGGAAGGCUCCGGGGAAGGAGUGUUGUCUCCCUGUCAGAGAAGCACUUAGACAAGCACUUGGCUUAAAGUCAGAGUGGAGAACAUUCUUCUUCAUGCAAAGUUAAACGGGAGUGAAGCCCAGGGCAGUUCUCAUUCGCUCAGAUCUGCCAAGAAGCCGAAGUGCAUGUAGAGCCUGUCCUGCCUCACAGAAGGCCCCGCACACCCACCACAGGCGACCACGCACCCCGUGCCGCCCACACCACCCACCACAGGCGACCACGCACCCCGUGCCGCCCACACCACCCACCGCAGGAGACCACGCACCCCGUGCCGCCCACACCACCCACCGCAGGAGACCACGCACCCCGUGCCGCCCACACCAUCCACCGCAGGAGACCACGCACCCCGUGCCGCCCACACCAUCCACUGCAGGUGACCAUGCACCCUGUGCUGCCCACACAUGCCCUAGGUAGACCUGUUGCCUGUGGCUGUAGAGGAGAUGGAAGCCAUGCAUUCCUGAGACACACGUGGGCUUCCAGGGUUGCCAGGUGGAAAUUAAAGCCGCAUCACAUGACCCUCAUGUGGAUGGGGACGUCUGAACCAUCCACAGGGCUCAGGAACAGAAACCUGGUCAGGUGACCAAGAGCAGGCGGAGGCCACACUGAAAAUGUUGAGUUUGGGUCUUGCACCAGCAGGCCCUCAGGGUCGUGGAUGGGUAUCACUCUUGAUGCUCAUGAAUGAGUGUGUCCUUGCCAAAGUCCCGGCCAUAACUGGGAGUCCAGUUCUGUGGGAAGUGCUGCCGACCUGUGUGUUAGGCAGAGUUUAAGAAACUGAACUCUGGGUGCCAGGCCAGAAAAGCCAAGAGACGUUGAUCUAGGAUUGCCUUCUUCUUUUGCUGUCCUGGGAUUAAGGCACCAGAGAGCAGACCCUGGUCACAAAGCAUCACAAAGACCAAGGUAACAACUCAGCCAAACUCCACCUGCCUCUGCCACUUGAUGCCACCGGAGAUUCUGUGUCACUUCGAGUUCCUGACUUUGCAGUGCUGGGAGUCUGGAGUUGGCCAGACAGCACCACACACAUUUCUUCAUUUUGCUGGCUUGCCAGCCGUGCUCAGGGUGCUUUCCCACUAGACCAGCAGGGAUGACAAAGGUCCCACUGAGACAGAGAAGCCCACAGGUCCAAAGUCCUCAGAAGCAGCCGCAGUACCAGGCAGACCUGAA